rnacentral:rRNA from 1 species
GCUCGAAGGCGAUCAGAUACCGCCCUAGUUCUAACCAUAAACGAUGCCAGCUAGCGAUCCGCCGAAGUUCUUAUUACGACUCGGCGGGCAGCUUCCGGGAAACCAAAGCUUUUGGGUUCCGGGGGAAGUAUGGUUGCAAAGCUGAAACUUAAAGGAAUUGACGGAAGGGCACCACCAGGAGUGGAGCCUGCGGCUUAAUUUGACUCAACACGCGAAAGCUUACCGGGCCCAGACACCGGAAGGAUUGACAGAUUGAGAGCUCUUUCUUGAUUCGGUGGGUGGUGGUGCAUGGCCGUUCAUAGUUGGUGGAGCGAUUUGUCUGGUUAAUUCCGAUAACGAACGAGACUCUAGCCUGCUAAAUAGGCGUAAAUUUACCGGCAUCUCAAGGCCCGCCCGCUACUGUGCUAUUUGAUGUCUUGUAUGUGAUAGUUUGUAUGCGUGUCAAUGUUAUGUGCGGUGGGUCUCGGCUCAUUUGUACGUGCGUUGGCAUUGUGUGCAUUCAAUUUGCGUACGGUCAGAUGAAAUGCGGUGGUUGUGUGCGUGGUUUUUACUGCCGGCGUAUUAUAUAACUCUUCUUAGAGGGACAGGCGGCUCUAGCCGCACGAGAUUGAGCAAUAACAGGUCUGUAAUGCCCUUAGAUGUCCUGGGCCGCACGCGCGCUACAUUGAAGGAAUCAACGUGUCUUCCUUAGCCGAAAGGCUCGGGUAACCCGCUGAACCUCCUUGGUGCUUGGGAUUGGG